UUUUUUGGACACUCAAAUAACUGACCAUAUUUACUUAGCAGUCAACACCUUCUAGCUUAGUUUUUUCCCUUGAACAUGUAAAACUGUAUGUCAUUACAUUAAGAGAAAGUAAGGCCAAAAUAGCAAAAAUACAACGACCUUACAUUCUUACACUAUCACGACAACCAGAACAAACACCUUACAUUACCAUGCAUGACCAGAACAACCUUACGUGACCUUACAACCAAAACAACAACCUUAUGUGACCAAAACAACCACUAAAAGAUGACUUAAACAGCCUUAAGCAACCAACUUGAUGCAAGGCAACAGAUGACAACGGCCAACCACAAACCGUAAGGGAUUUAGAUCCCAAUGGGUUUUGAGGAAAAUAUUUUUACAUUAAGCAAAACUCUGAACAGAAGUUAUGUGCUCUACAACUUCCUAUUUCUUCAGUUUGGCUAUUGUACUUAACAACAGUGUGUUGUAUGCUAUUCUAGUGGUGUUUGUAGAUCUUUUUCUUUUAUAUAAACAUGACAGCUAUCCCUUUAAAAUUUUCUAUAUUUAUUUCAUUAUUUUUUUAAUCUCAGUAUGCAUCAACAUUUUUGGGAUUUUCUGUAGAUAUCAAUAUAUGAUUUACGCAUGUCUUCUCCUCUGAGAGUUAAGGAUCACAUGUAUGGUAGCCCAAUAUUAAAUAUCAAAUGGCACCAGACACUUAAUUCUACCGAACCUAAACUGAUCACUGCUGAUAAGCACAUAGUGAGAAUCUGGGAUCCUAAUACAUUACCACACAUGCUGCCAUCUGAAAAUGCAUUUUCAGCUGUUGUAUCUGCUCUGGAGUGAAUGAAGGACAUCGUCUUUGGAAGUCAGACAUCACCUAGAGCUAGGGUGUCCAUUCUUGACAUGUUUCUCUUAGUGAUAGGUGGAUACUGUCUAGCUAGGAACAGAGUCUCGAGGGAUUGAUGGACGCAUGCAUCUUCAAUUCCUGUGUGUUGUAUUACUACUGGUACAAUCUCCAAUUCUUGUGAACUUAUGUAUUUGGACUAUCAAUUUGUGAUAUGAACAUAUAUCAAUGUGUUUGAAAUC